AGUUCUGACAAAACUGGCUGGAGUUUCUAAUCUGUUUGUCAGCUAAUAAAGGAAGGUAUCCUGGAAGAACUUUAGACAUAAGGACAUGUGUGGAGCGUACAGUCCCUGGAGGGUUGCAGUUGGCUCUCUCCAGACCAAUGUUUACUGUCAAUCCCUAAUUAUCCUGGAGAAGGUGGUGGUUAGAAACAUGGACUAUUGAAUGUUGCCAAAAACAAGCCUCAUAUAUCAACAAACACAUGAUCAGCUGAAUGGUCCCACCUUCCAUACACGUUAGAAGGGAGAGUCUUUCAGUACCUCAGCAGCCACCUCUCUCACAAAACCAACGUGUCUGAGUAGCUCCUGUUCUCUCAUCUCUUCAGGACAAAGGCACACUGAAGUUUUCCUUCGAAUAUCGGUGACCAGGAGGAGUUUGCUACCAAUUGUUCAAAAUGGAAACAACUUGUCUAAGAAAUAUCACCGUGUCUAGAGUUGCAGCAUCACCAUGAUGGAAACAUAGAAAAUAGGAGCAGGCCAUUCAGCCCUUCAAGACUGCUCCACCAUUCAAUAUGAUCACAGCUGAUCAUCCCACUCAGUCCUCUGUUCCCACUUUUUCCCCAAACCCUUUGAUUCCUUUAAGAACUUAAGUUGCAUCUUCCAUGAAAGUCUUCAAUGUUUUGGCCUGAACAGUUUCCUGUGUCAGAGCAGUCCACAGGCUCCCCACUCUCUGGGUGAAGACAUUUCUCCUGAUCUCAGUCUGAAAAGUUCAACCCUUAGAGUCUGCCCCCUGGUUCUGGAAUGCUCAGUCACAAGAACAUUUUUCCUGUAUAUAUUCUGUUUAAUCCUGUUCCAAUUUUACAGCUUUCUAUGAGAUCCCCCCUCAUUCUUCUAAACUCCAGUAAAUAUUAUCCAAUCCAAUUCAGUCUCUCUCCAUAUGUCAGUCCUGCCAUCCCAGGAAUCAGUCUAGUAAACCUUUGCUGCACUCCCUCCAUCACCAGAACACCUUUCCUCACAUGAGGAGAUC